ACCUUGAGAGCUGUAAGAGAACACACAUCGUCCAUCGUUUACCUCCUCUAUCUUUCACCCAGGCUUGAUGACCACAUGUGUAGCUGUGAUUCCAGGACUUUUAAGACCAUGGCCAAGAAAAUAAUUUUUCUCUUCAUCAUAGUCUUCUCACACCCCAGUCAUGCGGAGAUUGACCCAUCAUUUAAUGAUCAGCCCGAACCUCCAGAACAGCUCCAUACAGAUUGGAUGAGUCAGCUAAAUGAUGACAGGCUGCUUUCGGAAGUCACUAUCCCUGGGGCCCAUGAUGCAAUGGCUUUUGAUUGUAUAUAUUUGGCAGAAUGUCAGGCGUGGAAUUUAAAUAACCAGCUUUCAGCAGGGUUAAGAUACUUUGAUCUUAGAGUAGAUAACUCACUACGGCUGGUGCAUGGAAUUAUAAAAUUGGGUGUAAGGUUGGAAGAGGUACUUGUCACCAUAGUAGAAUUUCUAAAGGCACACAAAAAGGAAACAGUUUUAAUUAGGGUGAAGCCAAAACAAGGUCAGUUUCAAAGAGGGAACACUGCCUUUUCUAGGGCUAUGACAUUACUAAAAGGUAAUAUAAAUCCAUAUGUAUACAUG